CCAAUAGCGUAUAUUAAAGUUGUUGCAGUUAAAAAGCUCGUAGUUGAAUUUUGGAUUCUACCAGUCGGUCCAUCUUUUGAUGAGUACUGGUUGUGUGGGGUCUAUCCGCCUGGUAAUACGUAAUGUCCUUUAUUGGAUGUUGCGGGUAGUCAGGACCUUUACCUUGAAAAAAUUAGAGUGUUUAAAGCAGGCUUAUGCCGGAAUCCAUUAGCAUGGAAUAAUAGAAUAGGACGAAGUUGUUUUAUUUUGUUGGUUUCUAGGACAACCGUAAUGAUUAAUAGGGAUAGUUGGGGGCAUUAGUAUUCAAUUGUCAGAGGUGAAAUUCUUGGAUUUAUUGAAGACUAACUAUUGCGAAAGCAUUUGCCAAGGAUGUUUUCAUUAAUCAAGAACGAAAGUUAGGGGAUCGAAGACGAUCAGAUACCGUCGUAGUCUUAACCAUAAACUAUGCCGACUAGGGAUCGGGCGAUGUUGUUUCAAUGACUCGCUCGGCACCUUAUG
rnacentral:misc_RNA from 1 species